rnacentral:rRNA from 1 species
UUGAACGCUGGCGGCAUGCCUUACACAUGCAAGUCGAGCGCGAAAGGGGGCAACCCCGAGUAGAGCGGCGGACGGGUGAGUAACACAUCGGAACGUGCCCAGUAGUGGGGGACAACCUCGAGAAAUCGAGGCUAAUACCGCAUACGACCCACGGGUGAAAGCGGGGGACCGCAAGGCCUCGCGCUAUUGGAGCGGCCGAUGUCCGAUUAGCUAGUUGGCGGGGUAAGAGCCCACCAAGGCGACGAUCGGUAGCUGGUCUGAGAGGACGACCAGCCACACUGGGACUGAGACACGGCCCAGACUCCUACGGGAGGCAGCAGUGGGGAAUUUUGGACAAUGGGGGCAACCCUGAUCCAGCCAUGCCGCGUGCGGGAAGAAGGCCUUCGGUUGUAACG